rnacentral:rRNA from 1 species
UACGGAGGGUGCUAGCGUUGUUCGGAAUGACUGGGCGUAAAGCGCGCGUAGGCGGAUUGGUAAGUUGGAAGUGAAAGCCCGAGGCUUAACCUCGGAAUUGCUUUCAAAACUGCCUUUCUGGAGUAUGGUAGGGGAUAGUGGAAUUCCUAGUGUAGAGGUGAAAUUCGUAGAUAUUAGGAGGAACACCGGAGGCGAAAGCGACUAUCUGGGCCAUAACUGACGCUGAGGCGCGAAAGCGUGGGGAGCAAACAGG